rfam:Tilletia controversa strain DAOM 236426 scaffold_1, whole genome shotgun sequence.
GCUGAAAUAGGCUAAUUGGUAAAACCAUACCAUUCAUACUGGUAAAUUGAAGGGUUCGAUUCCCUCUUUCGGCU